AGAAUUCGUCAGUGAAGCCAUCAGGACCCAGGCUUUUCUUAGUUGGUUUUCAAUAUCUGCUUUGCUGAAACAUGUACAGGCUUUGGGAUUUGUGUCUCAGCUCAGGUGAGAAGAAUCCUGACACUGGCAGGUGACAUGGUGAAGAAAAGAAAGAAAAACCUGACAGAGGUACCAAGCUAGGGGAUGAAGAUAUAGAAGAAAGAAGUACAUACAGUUUCUGCUCUCAGGAAGCUUUUAAUCUAAGAGGGGAUCAAUCAUAAUAUAGUCUAAUUGCUGUGAUAGGGAAGGAAAAAUACCACAGGAGAGCAAGAUAUGGAGAAAGGAGGAUGGUGUUUAGGUGGAAAUGGAAAAAAAAAGCCCAAGUGGGAAUCAGCCAGGUGAAGAAACAGGGAGAUUACUGGGAACAGCAUAGACAAAGGCCCAGCCACAAGCUAAGGCUCAGCAGACCUCCUUGAAGAAAGUGGUAAGAAUUGAGUGUGUCUGGAAUGGACAGCACAGGAGGGAGUGGAAAGGAAAUCAGCUGACAGAAACUCUUCAGCCCCUCGAAAUUUAGAUUUUAUCCUGGGGGCAAUGAGAAGAUACCAAUGGGUUAAGCAAUGGAAUGAGGUAAUCAGGUAUAUUGAUAUUACAGAAAAAUUACUCAGGCUGCAGAAUAAGGAAUCAAUAGACAAGAAGAGGCAGCCAGACUUGAGUCAGGAUAAAAAAAAUUAGAUUGUUGUGAUGGCAAAGGCAGAACUUGGAGGCAGCCUGGAUUCAGGGAGGGCAGUGGAAAUAUAAAGAGUAAUUUUGAAAGAUAUUAAAGAUAUUAAGUCAGGUGCAGUGGUGUACGCCUGUAAUCCUA
rnacentral:lncRNA from 1 species